GUAUCACAAAGGCUAGAGACAGCUUUUACUCUCAGGUCUUGUGAUAACACUGAGGAGGAGAGACGGGCAACCAGCUCUUUCUGAAGUGACAGCUUGGGAGCAUUUUAACAUCUGGUUCCUGUGUUAUGAAGAGGGUUGGAGCCUUGUAAAACAACAUUGCUGCUCUGAAGGUCAAACAGAAACCAACUUUUUCCUCAAGGAACAUUUCUUAGGAGUUUGGGAUGGCUUAACAUCUGCUGCUUGCAGUUCUACGGUUAAUUUGUUAGGCGGCACAACCAAGAUUAUUUUUUUCUAAUAUUUUCAAUGUGUGUGUCUGCGGGUGACAUAUCUGUAAAUAUACAAGUUAGUUUGUAAGUAGAUUUAAAGAAGUGUAUCUAUAAAAUAGUAUCUCUAAAUUGGUUCCAAUGGGUGUGUGUUGUGGAUGAGGUGUUGCGGGGUUGUUUGUGUUAUAUGCCUUGCUGCUGAAAGAAUUUUAAAAGAAACUUGAAUAUAUGUCAGGGUGUUUGCCUCUGUGUGUGUGUUCGUGGGUUUAGAAGUAAGUUAGAUUGCACUACGUGAAAACGUGGACAUUUUAUCCAGUUCCAUCUCCCUUGAGAAUAGAUAAAUACAUUUUUUUUCUCAAUUUUUGUCCUGCUUGCAUGACCUUCAGUUUUAAUAAUGUAAAUUCUAGAACAUUACAAGUGCUUUUUCCAUUCACUAGUACAAAUAUACCAAAAAGGCAUAUGUUUAUGAGCUUGCACAUAUUUUCUGUGUGGCUUUAAAAUCAGAUAUGGCUUGUGUGUGGAUGUUAGAAAAUACAUGGAAGGGUUGUUUGAGGGGCCAAUCCCCCAGGACCUGUGGUCAUGGUGCUAGGCACACAUCUUGUUGUGUUGAUGGUAAAUAAGGAGAGAUGUUUGUUUGUUUGGAAUGUUUGUGACUACACCCAGUUGGCAUCUUGUCACUUUGACUGCAAAAAAAAAAAAAAAAAAAAAAAAAAAAUCAUCCAUGGAAAUGGAAUUGAAUAAUGAAUGUGAAUAAAAGAAAUACAAAAAAUGGA